UCUGUUCCUCUUCGGUGAGCUGCCCUUAGCCGCCCAAUCUCUCUCUAAUGGUCCAGAUUAAAUCAUGUUCUGUUUUUUCCUCUCGAAUAGGUAUGCGCUGUUUAGAGGCUGUCCGCUGUUUAGCCAUCGCAGCGAACACCCUCCAGUCAAUCAGCAUGCGCCACGUGGCACAUCCACAGUGCCAUGACAGUUCUUCCUAGAACGCUUUUAUGGCAUAAUUGUUCUUUGCAGAUUCCGUAUCAAAUUUUCAUUUAGGUUUAUCUUGAGAUCCGUAACUCCAAAUUCAUCGAUUCUUUUUCCUGUGUACUAGUAGUGACCAGGAGAAUAUUUAAGAACAAAAGUUUCACAUUUUUGAACAGUUCAAAUUUGAAUUUGUUUAAAUUUGAAUUCAAACUUCCGGAGGCCAUAUCUUUUAAACUGUUGAUCCAAAUUAGUUGAUUCUUUUUGCAUUGUGAUCCUACCAGCAUGUAGAUAAUAUAUACCUACUAAUAUGUUCUGUUAUUUAAGUCUUUAUUUGAAUUCGUUGCUGUUUACUUUAUUUUAGUGUUAUGUGAGCAUAGUUUAUUUAUCGUUGCCUCCGUUAAUCGUAUAGAUUGUUCGGAGUGUGAAGCGGAUCGGAAUUAAUCGUUAGAGUACUUCAGCACCGUUCAAGGCAAGUUUGCACUUUUGAUUUUGCUCAUCAUAUAUUCUGCUAUGCAAGUGUGAUUUUGGUGCUAUGAUAUAUGCUUGGCCUGAUAUGUGUAUCUCGUGUUAUGUUUGGUAUUGAUUGUGUUAUGUGAUGGUGUGAUCAAAUUAGUAUGGUAGACACGGGCAUGUGUCGAGUGAUCCAUGAAAGUGGUGAGUGUUUAUAGCCGUAGGCUCGGGAUUAUUAACCAGGUGAAUGCGUCACUGGCAGAGCGCUCUAUUGUCCCUAGAGAAUGCGCCAUUGACAGAGCGCACUUGAGGCAAGGUAUAGUUUUCGGAACUUAAAUCAGGUGAAUGCGUCCUUGGCAGAGCGCUCUAUUGUUCCUAGAGAAUGCGCCACUGACAGAGCGCACUUGAGAGACUUCUGAAGUUCUUGUCAUGUUUAUUUAGAAUCUUUGGGUUAUCUUGGGCGAGUAAACUAGAGACGGUUGUGAGUUUAGGUAGUGGAGGUAGGUGAAGACAUUCUUCUCCAAACUAACUUGUGUGUUUUGUUUGUCAUACAAUGCUUUGUGGAGGUAGGUUUGCUAUAUCAUAUUGUGUGAUUUGCCAAUACAUUCAAUGUAUUUACCCUUUGUGGCUACAACUUAUCAUGUUGCGGGAUUUUCAGAUGAUCAGUGAGAUACAGUAGGGUUGCGAGUCUUCAGUCAACAUGUUCUCCAGUGGGCAUUGAUGGACUCAUCGUUGAUUAUGCUACCUUUCCGCAGUUAUUAUUGAAUAAGUUAGCCAUGUGCUAUUUAGUUUGUAAUAAUUUAUAAAUUCUGGAUCAUACGUUAUAGUAAAUGAUGCACUUGUUAUUUGAUAUUCAUAUGUACUGUGUGUGCUAGCGAGUCGAUCCAGGGACUAGCACAGUGAGCACAGAGACAUCGAGUCUUAUCAGAUUCGAGUCGUUACAGAUGGUAUCAGAGCAGUGUGUUAACUGUAGGUCGUGACCCUAGAAAAUGGAUUAGAAAAGCCAUAAAAGUGAAAACUUACUUUACAACUUGUUGUCUACUUGUUAGUUCAUACUCUUGUACUCAUAUCUUUACUUUUCAAAUAUAGAUGACCCCUGAAAUUAUAUUAGUGUUAUUUAAGGAGUUUAGUUUGAAGACCACCAUUCCUAAGUUGUGUUCGAUAAACGAUUUGCGGUAGUAUGAUGAGAUCAUAUCUCUUGUGGAUAUGACCUUACCUGUAGGUUUUGCUUGUGUUGUGUGGUAUGUGUUGGGGAACGUAGCAGAAAUUCAAAAUUUUCCUACGUGUCACCAAGAUCUAUCUAUGGAGAGACUAGCAACGAGGGGAAGGAGAGUGCAUCUACAUACCCUUGUAGAUCGCUAAGCGGAAGCGUUCAAGUGAACGGGGUUGAUGGAGUCGUACUCGUCGUGAUUCAGAUCACCGAUGAUCCUAGUGCCGAACGGACGGCACCUCCGCGUUCAACACACGUACAGCUCGACGAUGUUUCCCACGCCUUGAUCCAGCAAGGAGAGAGGGAGAGGUUGAGGAAGACUCCAUCCAGCAGCAGCACAACGGCGUGGUGGUGAUGGAGGAGCGUGGCAAUCCUGCAGGGCUUCGCCAAGCACCUACGGGAGAGGAGGAGGUGUCACGGGAGGGAGGGAGGUGCCAAGGGCUCAGGUAUGGAUGCCCUCCUUCCCCUCCACUAUAUAUAGGGGCAGGGGAGAGGGGGGAGGCGCAGCCUUGCCCCUUCCUCCAAGAAAGGGGUGCGGCUAAGAGGGGGGAGGAGUCCAUCCUCCCCAAGGCACCUCGGAGGUGCCUUCCCCCUUUAGGACUCUCCCCUUUUUCCUAUAUCUUGGCGCAUGGGCCUCUAGGGGCUGGUGCCCUUGGCCCAUGUAGGCCAAGGCCCACCCCCUACAGCCCAUGUGGCCCCCCGGGGCAGGUGGGCCCCCGGGACCCUUCCGGUGGUCCCGGUACAAUACCGAUGACCCCGAAACUUGUCCCGAUGGCCGAAACAGGACUUCCUAUAUAUAAAUCUUUACCUCCGGACCAUUCCGGAACUCCUCGUGACGUCCGGGAUCUCAUCCGGGACUCCGAACAACAUUCGGUAACCACAUACAAGCUUCCUUUAUAACCCUAGCGUCAUCGAACCUUAAGUGUGUAGACCCUACGGGUUCGAGAGACAUGCAGACAUGACCGAGACGUUCUCCGGUCAAUAACCAACAGCGGGAUCUGGAUACCCAUGUUGGCUCCCACAUGUUCCACGAUGAUCUCAUCGGAUGAACCACGAUGUCAAGGACUCAAUCGAUCCCGUAUACAAUUCCCUUUGUCUAGCGGUAUUUUACUUGCCCGAGAUUCGAUCGUCGGUAUCCAAUACCUUGUUCAAUCUCAUUACCGGCAAGUCACUUUACUCGUUCCGUAACACAUCAUCCCGUGAUCAACUCCUUGGUCACAUUGCGCAUAUGAUGAUGUCCUACCGAGUGGGCCCAGAGAUACCUCUCCGUUUACACGGAGUGACAAAUCCCAGUCUCGAUCCGCAUAAAACAAUAGAUACUUUCGGAGAUACCUGUAGUGCACCUUUAUAUUCACCCAGUUACGUUGUGACGUUUGAUACACCCAAAGCACUCCUACGGUAUCCAGGAGUUACACGCUCUCAUGGUCGAAGGAAGAGAUACUUGACAUUGGCAAAGCUCUAGCAAAUGAACUACACGAUCUUUUGUGCUAGUCUUAGGAUUGGGUCUUGUCCAUCACAUCAUUCUCCUAAUGAUGUGAUCCCGUUAUCAACGACAUCCAAUGUCCAUAGCCAGGAAACCAUGACUAUCUGUUGAUCACAAUGAGCUAGUCAACUAGAGGCUCACUAGGGACAUAUUGUGGUCUAUGUAUUCACACGUGUAUUACGAUUUCCGGAUAAUACAGUUAUAGCAUGAAUAAAAGACAAUUAUCAUGAACAAGGAAAUAUAAUAAUAAUACUUUUAUUAUUGCCUCUAGGGCAUAUUUCCAACAAACACUUCUUGAAAUUUUGUAAGGGAUCAUCUUAUUUACUACCGUCGUCCUAAGUAAACAAGAUGCAUAAUCAUAAUAAACAUCACAUGCAAUCAAAUAGUGACAUGAUAUGGCCAAUAUCAUUUUGCUCCUUUUGAUCUUCAUCUUCGGGGCUCCAUGAUCAUCAUCGUCACCGGCAUGACACCAUGAUCUCCAUCAUCAUGAUCUCCAUCAUCGUGUCUUCAUGAAGUUGUCACGCCAACGACUACUUCUACUUCUAUGGCUAACGCGUUUAGCAAUAAAGUAAAGUAAGUUACAUGGCGUUCUUCAAUGACACGCAGGUCAUACAAUAAAUUAAGACAACUCCUAUGGCUCCUGCCGGUUGUCAUACUCAUCGACAUGCAAGUCGUGAAUCCUAUUACAAGAACAUGAUCAAUCUCAUACAUCACAUAUAUCAUUCAUCACAUCCUUUUGGCCAUAUCACAUCACAUAGCAUACCCUGCAAAAACAAGUUAGACGUCCUCUAAUUGUUGUUUGCAUGUUUUAUGUGGCUGCUAUGGGUUUCUAGCAAGAACGUUUCUUACCUACGCAAAACCACAACGUGAUAUGCCAAUUGCUAUUUACCCUUCAUAAGGACCCUUUUCAUCGAAUCCGUUCCGACUAAAGUGGGAGAGACUGGCACCCGCUAGCCACCUUAUGCACCAAGUGCAUGUCAAUCGGUGGAACCUGUCUCACGUAAGAGUACGUGUAAGGUCGGUCCAGGCCGCUUCAUCCCACAAUACCGUCGAAACAAGAUUGGACUAGUAACGGUAAGCAUAUUGAACAACAUCAACGCCCACAACUACUUUGUGUUCUACUCGUGCAAAGAAUCUACGCAAUAGACCUAGCUCAUGAUGCCACUGUUGGGGAACGUAGCAGAAAUUCAAAAUUUUCCUACGUGUCACCAAGAUCUAUCUAUGGAGAGACCAGCAAUGAGUAGAAAGAGAGUGCAUCUACAUACCCUUGUAGAUCGCUAAGCGGAAGCGUUCAAGUGAACGGGGUUGAUGGAGUCGUACUCGUCGUGAUUCAGAUCACCGAUGAUCCUAGUGCCGAACGGACGGCACCUCCGCGUUCAACACACGUACAGCUCGACGAUGUCUCCCACGCCUUGAUCCAGCAAGGAGAGAGGGAGAGGUUGAGGAAGACUCCAUCCAGCAGCAGCACAACGGCGUGGUGGUGAUGGAGGAGCGUGGCAAUCCUGCAGGGCUUCGCCAAGCACCUACGGGAGAGGAGGAGGUGUCACGGGAGGGAGGGAGGCGCCAAGGGCUCAGGUGUGGAUGCCCUCCCUCCCCUCCACUAUAUAUAGGGGCAGGGGAGAGGGGGGAGGCGCUGCCUUGCCCCUUACUCCAAGAAAGGGGUGCGGCCAAGAGGGGGGGAGGAGUCCAUCCUCCCCAAGGCACCUCGGAGGUGCCUUCCCCCUUUAGGACUCUCCCCUUUUUCCUAUAUCUUGGCGCAUGGGCCUCUAGGGGCUGGUGCCCUUGGCCCAUGUAGGCCAAGGCGCACCCCCUACAGCCCAUGUGGCCCCCCGGGGCAGGUGGCCCCACCCGGUGGGCCCCCGGGACCCUUCCGGUGGUCCCGGUACAAUACCGAUGACCCCGAAACUUGUCCCGAUGGCCGAAACAGGACUUCCUAUAUAUAAAUCUUUACCUCCGGACCAUUCCGGAACUCCUCGUGACGUCCGGGAUCUCAUCCGAGACUCCGAACAACAUUCGGUAACCACAUACAAGCUUCCUUUAUAACCCUAGCGUCAUCGAACCUUAAGUGUGUAGACCCUACGGGUUCGGGAGACAUGCAGACAUGACCGAGAUGUUCUCCGGUCAAUAACCAACAGCGGGAUCUGGAUACCCAUGUUGGCUCCCACAUGUUCCACGAUGAUCUCAUCGGAUGAACCACGAUGUCAAGGACUCAAUCAAUCCCGUAUACAAUUCCCUUUGUCUAGCGGUAUGGUACUUGCCCGAGAUUCGAUCGUCGGUAUACCGAUACCUUGUUCAAUCUCGUUACCGGCAAGUCUCUUUACUCGUUCCAUAACACAUCAUCCCGUGAUCAACCCCUUGGUCACAUUGUGCACAUUAUGAUGAUGUCCUACCGAGUGGGCCCAGAGAUACCUCUCCGUUUACGCGGAGUGACAAAAUCCCAAUCUCGAUUCGUGCCAACCCAACAGACACUUUCAGAGAUACCCGUAGUGUACCUUUAUAGCCACCCAGUUACGUUGUGACGUUUGGCACACCCAAAGCACUCCUACGGUAUCCGGGAGUUGCACAAUCUCAUGGUCUAAGGAAAUGAUACUUGACAUUAGAAAAGCUUUAGCAUACGAACUACAUGAUCUUGUGCUAGGCUUAGCAUUGGGUCUUGUCCAUCACAUCAUUCUCCUAAUGAUGUGAUCCCGUUAUCAACGACAUCCAAUGUCCAUGGUCAGGAAAUCGUAACCAUCUAUUGAUUAACGAGCUAGUCAACUAGAGGCUUACUAGGGACAUGGUGUUGUCUAUGUAUCCACACAUGUAUCUGAGUUUCCUAUCAAUACAAUUCUAGCAUGGAUAAUAAACGAUUAUCAUGAACAAGGAAAUAUAAUAAUAAUCAAUUUAUUAUUGCCUCUAGGGCAUAUUUCCAACAGUCUCCCACUUGCACUAGAGUCAAUAAUCUAGUUCACAUCGAUAUGUGAUUAACACUCAAGGUCACAUCCCCAUGUGACUAACACCCAAAGAGUUUACUAGAGUCAAUAAUCUAGUUCACAUUUACCAUGUGAUUAACACUCGAUGAGUUCUGGGUUUGAUCAUGUUAUGCUUGUGAGAGAGGUUAUAGUCAACGGGUCUGAACCUUUCAGAUCCGUGUGUGCUUUACAAAUCUCUAUGUCAUCUCCUAGAUGAAGCUACCACGUUCUAUUUGGAGCUAUUCCAAAUAACUGUUCUACUUGGAGCUAUUCUAAAUUGUUGCUCCAUUAUACGUAUCCGGUAUCUCUACUCAGAGCUAUCCGGAUAGGUGUUAAGCUUGCAUCGACGUAACCCUUUACGACGAACUCUUUUACCACCUCCAUAAUUGAGAAAAUUCCUUAGUCCACUAGUUACUAAGGAUAACUUUGACCGUUGUCCUGUGAUCCAUUCUUGGAUCACUCUUGUACCCCUUGACUGACUCAUGGUAAAGCACACUUCAGGUGCGGUACACAGCAUAGCAUACUGUAGAGCCUAUGUCUUAAGCAUAGGGGACGACCUUCGUUCCUUUCUCUCUAUUCUGCCAUGGUCGAGCUUUAAGUCUUAACUUCAUACCUUACAACUCAGGCAAGAACUCCUUUGACUGAUCCAUCUUGAACACCUUCAAGAUCACGUCAAGGCAUGUGCUCAUUUGAAAGUACUAUUAAGCGUUUUGAUCUAUCCUUAUAGAUCUUGAUGCUCAAUGUUCAAGUAGCUUAAUCCAGGUUUUCCAUUGAAAACACUUUCCAAAUAACCCUAUAUGCUUUCCAGAAAUUCUACGUCAUUUCCGAUCAUUAAUAUGUCAACAACAUAUACUCAUCAGAAAUUCUAUAGUGCUCCCACUCACUUCUUUGGAAAUACAAGUUUCUCAUAAACCUUGUAUACACCCAAAAUCUUUGAUCAUCAUCAAAGCAUACAUUCCAACUCCGAGAUGCUCACUCCAGUCCUCAGAAGGAUUGCUGGAGCUUUGCAUACUUAUUAGCAUAUUUCAGGAUAGACAAAACCUUCCGGUUGUAUCACAUACAACCUUCCCUCAAGAAUCGUCGAGGAAACAAUGUUUUGACAUCCUAUCUGCAAGAUUUCAUAAAUAAUGCAGUAAUUGCUAAUAUAAUUCCAACAGACUCUUAGCAUCACUACGAGUGAGAAAGUCUCAUCGUAGUCAACUUCUUGAACUUGUCGAAAAACAUCUUAACGACAAGUCGAGCUUUCUCAAUGGUGACACUUACCAUCAUUGUCUGUCUUCCUUUCAAAAUCCAUAUGUACCUAACAGCCUUACGACCAUCAAGUAGUUCUUCCAAAGUCUACACUUUGUUUUCAUACAUGGAUCCUCUCUCGGGUUUUAUGGCCUUGAGCUAUUUAUCGGAAUCCGGGCCCACCAUCGCUUCUCCAUAGCUCGUAGGUUCAUUGUUGUCUAGCAACAUGACUUCCAAGACAGGAUUACGUACCACUCUGAAGUAGUACGCAUCCUUGUCAUCCCACGAGGUUUGGUAGUGACUCGAUCCGAAGUUUCAUGAUCACUAUCAUAAGCUUCCACUUCAGUUGGUGUACGUGCCACAGGAACAACUUCCUGUGCCCUGCUACACACUUGUUGAAGUGACGGUUCAAUAACCUCAUCAAGUCUCCACCAUCCUCCCACUCAACUUUUCGAGAGAAACCUUUCCUCGAAAAAGGACCCGAUUCAAGAAACAAUCCCUAUUGCUUUCGGAUCUGAAUUAGGAGGUAUACCCAACUGUUUUGGGGUGUCCUAUGAAGAUGCAUUUUAUCUGCUUUGGGUUCGAGCUUAUCAACCUUAAACCUUUUCACAUAAGCGUCGCAGCCCCAAACUUUCAAGAAACGGCAACUUAGGUUUCUCCAAACCAUAGUUCAUACGGUGUCGUCUCAACGAAAUUAUGUGGUGCCCUAUUUAAAGUGAAUGUGGUUGUCUCUAAUGCCUAACCCAUGAACAAUUGUGGUAAUUCGAUAAGAGACAUCAUGGUAUGCAUCAUAUCCAAUAGGGUGCAGUUAUGAUGUUCGGACACACCAUCACACUAUGGUGUUCCAAGUUGUAUCAGUUGUGAAACAAUUUCCACAAUGUCUUAAUUCUGUGCCAAACUCGUAACUCAGAUAUUCAUCUCUAUGAUCAUAUCAUAGACAUUUUAUCCUCUUGUCACAAUGAUCUUCUACUUCACUCUGAAAUUAUUUGAACCAUUCAAUAAUUCAGACUUGUGUUUCAUCAAGUAAAUAUUCUCAACAUCUACUCGAAUCAUCUGUGAAGUAAGAACAUAACGAUAUUCACUGCAUGCCUUAGCACUCAUUGGAUUGUACACAUCAAAAUGUAUUACUUCCAACAAGUUGCUAUCUUGUUCCAUCUUACUGAAAACGAGGCUUUUCAGUCAUCUUGCCCAUGUGGUAUGAUUUGCAUAUCUCAAGUGAUUCAAAAUCAAGUGAGUCCGAACGAUCCAUUUGCAUGGAGUUUCUUCAUGCAUAUACACCAAUAGACAUGGUUCGCAUGUCUCAAACUUUUCAAAAACGAGUGAGCCCAAAGAUCCAUCAAUAUGGAGCUUCUUCAUGCGUUUUAUACCGAUAUGACUUACGUGGCAGUGCCACAAGUAGGUGGUACUAUCAUUACUAUCUUUUGGCAUGAACAUGUGUAUCACUACGAUCGAGAUUUAAUAAACCAUUCAUUUUAAGUGUAAGACCAUUGAAGGUAUUAUUCAAAUAAACAGAGUAACCAUUAUUCUCCUUAAAUGAAUAACCGUAUUGCGAUAGACGUAAUCCAAUCAUGUCUAUGCUCAACGCAAACACCAAAUAACAAUUAUUUAGGUUUAACACCAAUCUCUUUGGUAGAGGGAGCAUGCGAUGCUUGAUCAUAUCAAGCUUGGAAAAACCUCCAACACAUAUCGUCAGCUCACCUUUAGCUAGUCUCCGUUUAUUCCGUAGCCUUUUGUUUCGAGUUACUAACACUUAGCAACCGAACCGGUAUCUAAUACCAUGGUGCUACUAGGAGUACUAGUAAAGUACACAUUAACAUAAUGUAUAUCCAAUAUACUUCUAUCGACCUUGCCAGCCUUCUCAUCUACCAAGUAUCUAGGGUAAUGCUGCUCCAGUGGUUGUUCCCCUUAUUACAGAAGCACUUAGUCUCGGGUUUGGGUUCAACCUUGGGUCUCUUCACUAGAGCAGCAGCUGAAUUGCCGUUUCAUGAAGUAUCCCUUUGUUCCCUUGCCCUUCUUGAAACUAGUGGUUUCACCAACCAUCAACAAUUGAUGCUCCUUCUUGAUUUCUACUUUCGCGGUGUCAAACAUCGCGAAUAUCUCAAGGAUCAUCAUAUAUGUCCCUGAUAUAUCAUAGUUCAUCACGAAGCUCUAGUAGCUUGGUGGUAAUGACUUCGGAGAACCAUCACUAUUUCAUCUGGAAGAUCAACUCCCACUCAAUUCAAAUGAUUGUUCUACUCAGACAAUCUGAGCACAAGCUCAACAAUUGAGCUUUUCUCCUUAGUUUGCAGGUUAAGAAAGUCAUCGGAGGUCUUAUACCUCUUGACAUGGGCACGAGCCUGAAAUCCCAAUUUCAGCCCUCAAAACAUCUCAUAUGUUUCGCGAUGUUUCAAAAACGUCUUUGGUGCCUCAACUCUAAACCGUUUAACUGAACUAUCACGUAGUUAUCAAAACAUGUAUGUCAGAUGUUCGCAACAACCACAGACAACGUUCGAGGUUCAGCACACUGAGCGGUGCAUUAAGGACAUAAGCCUUCUAUGAAGCAAUGAGGACAAUCCUUAGUUUACGGACCUAGUCCGCAUAAUUGCUACUAUCAACUUUCAACUAAUUUUUCUCUAGGAACAUAUCUAAACAGUAGAACUAUAGCGUGAGCUACGACAUAAUUUGCAAAAAAACCUUUUGACUAUGUUCAGGAUAAUUAAGUUCAUCUUAUGAACUCCCACUCAGAUAGACAUCCCUCUAGUCAUCUAAGUGAUUACAUGAUCCGAGUCAAACUAGGCCGUGUCCGAUCAUCACGUGAGACGGACUAGUCAUCAUCGGUGAACAUCUUCAUGUUGAUCGUAUCUACUAUACGACUCAUGCUCGACCUUUCGGUCUCUGUGUUCCGAGGCCAUGUCUGCACAUGCUAGGCUCGUCAAGUUAACCCUAAGUGUUUCGCGUGUGUAAAUCUGUCUUACACCCGUUGUAUGUGAACGUUAGAAUCUAACACCCGAUCAUCACGUGGUGCUUCGAAACACGAACUGUCGCAACGGUGCACAGUUAGGGGAGAACACUUCUUGAAAUUGUUGUAAGGGAUCAUCUUAUUUACUACCGUCGUUCUAAGCAAAUAAGAUGUAUAAACAUGAUAAACAUCACAUGCAAUCAAAUAGUGACAUGAUAUGGCCAUCAUCACUUUGCUCCUUUUGAUCUCCAUCUUCGGGGCUCCAUGAUCAUCAUCGUCACCGGCAUGACACCAUGAUCUCCAUCAUCAUGAUCUCCAUCAUCGUGUCUUCAUGAAGUUGCCUCGCCAACUAUUACUUCUACUACUAUGGCUAACGGUUAGCAAUAAAGUAAAGUAAUUACAUGACGUUUAAGUUGACACGCAGGUAACAAAUAAAUAAAGACAACUCCUAUGGCUCCUGCCGGUUGUCAUACUCAUCGACAUGCAAGUCGUGAUUCCUAUUACAAGAACAUGAUCAAUCUCAUACAUCACAUAUAUCAUUCAUCACAUCCUUUUUGGCCAUAUCACAUCACAUAGCAUACCCUGCAAAAACAAGUUAGACGUCCUCUAAUUGUUGUUUGCAUGUUUUACGUGGCUGCUAUGGGUUUCUAGCAAGAACGUUUCUUACCUACGCAUGAACCACAACAUGAUAUGCCAAUUGCUAUUUACCCUUCAUAAGGACCCUUUUCAUCGAAUCCGAUCCGACUAAAGUGGGAGAGACAGACACCCGCCAGCCACCUUAUGCAACUAGUGCAUGUUUGUCGGUGGAACCGGUCUCACGUAAGUGUACGUGUAAGGUUGGUCCGGGCCGCUUCAUCCCACGAUGCCGCCGAAUCAAGAUAAGACUAGUAACGGCAAGCAUAUUGAACAAUAUCGACGCCCACAACUACUUUGUGUUCUACUCGUGCAAAGAAUCUACGCAAUAGACCUAGCUCAUGAUGCCACUGUUGGGGAACGUAGCAGAAAUUCAAAAUUUUCCUACGUGUCACCAAGAUCUAUCUAUGGAGAGACUAGCAACGAGGGGAAGGAGAGUGCAUCUACAUACCCUUGUAGAUCGCUAAGCGGAAGCGUUCAAGUGAACGGGGUUGAUGGAGUCGUACUCGUCGUGAUUCAGAUCACCGAUGAUCCUAGUGCCGAACGGACGGCACCUCCACGUUCAACACACGUACAGCUCGACGAUGUUUCCCACGCCUUGAUCCAGCAAGGAGAGAGGGAGAGGUUGAGGAAGACUCCAUCCAGCAGCAGCACAACAGCGUGGUGGUGAUGGAGGAGCGUGGCAAUCCUGCAGGGCUUCGCCAAGCACCUACGGGAGAGGAGGAGGUGUCACGGGAGGGAGGGAGGCGCCAAGGGCUCAGGUAUGGAUGCCCUCCCUCCCCUCCACUAUAUAUAGGGGCAGGGGAGAGGGGGGAGGCGCAGCCUUGCCCCUUCCUCCAAGAAAGGGGUGCGGCUAAGAGGGGGGAGGAGUCCAUCCUCCCCAAGGCACCUCGGAGGUGCCUUCCCCCUUUAGGACUCUCCCCUUUUUCCUAUAUCUUGGCGCAUGGGCCUCUAGGGGCUGGUGCCCUUGGCCCAUGUAGGCCAAGGCCCACCCCCUACAGCCCAUGUGGCCCCCCGGGGCAGGUGGGCCCCCGGGACCCUUCCGGUGGUCCCGGUACAAUACCGAUGACCCCGAAACUUGUCCCGAUGGCCGAAACAGGACUUCCUAUAUAUAAAUCUUUACCUCCGGACCAUUCCGGAACUCCUCGUGACGUCCGGGAUCUCAUCCGGGACUCCGAACAACAUUCGGUAACCACAUACAAGCUUCCUUUAUAACCCUAGCGUCAUUGAACCUUAAGUGUGUAGACCCUACGGGUUCGGGAGACAUGCAGACAUGACCUAGAUGUUCUCCGGUCAAUAACCAACAGCGGGAUCUGGAUACCCAUGUUGGCUCCCACAUGUUCCACGAUGAUCUCAUCGGAUGAACCACGAUGUCAAGGACUCAAUCAAUCCCGUAUACAAUUCCCUUUGUCUAGCGGUAUGGUACUUGCCCGAGAUUCGAUCGUCGGUAUACCGAUACCUUGUUCAAUCUCGUUACCGGCAAGUCUCUUUACUCGUUCCAUAACACAUCAUCCCGUGAUCAACCCCUUGGUCACAUUGUGCACAUUAUGAUGAUGUCCUACCGAGUGGGCCCAGAGAUACCUCUCCGUUUACACGGAGUGACAAAAUCCCAAUCUCGAUUCGUGCCAACCCAACAGACACUUUCAGAGAUACCCGUAGUGUACCUUUAUAGCCACCCAGUUACGUUGUGACGUUUGGCACACCCAAAGCACUCCUACGGUAUCCGGGAGUUGCACAAUCUCAUGGCCUAAGGAAAUGAUACUUGACAUUAGAAAAGCUUUAGCAUACGAACUACAUGAUCUUGUGCUAGGCUUAGGAUUGGGUCUUGUCCAUCACAUCAUUCUCCUAAUGAUGUGAUCCUGUUAUCAACGACAUCCAAUGUCCAUGGUCAGGAAACCGUAACCAUCUAUUGAUUAACGAGCUAGUCAACUAGAGGCUUACUAGGGACAUGGUGUUGUCUAUGUAUCCACACAUGUAUCUGAGUUUCCUAUCAAUACAAUUCUAGCAUGGAUAAUAAACGAUUAUCAUGAACAAGGAAAUAUAAUAAUAAUCAAUUUAUUAUUGCCUCUAGGGCAUAUUUCCAACAGUAUGUCAUAUGUUUGGUUGGUCAUUGCUUUCCGUGUUGUCUUAUUUUGUGGAUUGUUUGUAUUAUGCAAUUGGGUGCUUUGAUUGAUCAUAUAUGUGCUCUUCUGAUUGAUGUGAUUACUUUAGGAUAGUUUUGGUGACUUGUGUGACUUGUGUGAAUUUAGUGUUUCUUUUUGUUGUUGUUGAAGUUUUAGUUGCUAUCAUGAGCAUAUGGGUAGUGUUUUUCCCCUUAGACCUAUUUCUGUCUAUAUCUCACCCCUGCUUACCCAUCAGAUGCCACCAAGGCGUAACUCUAGAGGCAGUGGUUCAGGAGACAACAACAAUAAUGACAUACCGCCAUACAUGCAGCAGCUGCUUCAGGGACAAACUCAGUUGAUCCAGUUACUUGUUCAGAACCAGAACAACAACAACAACAACAACAACAAUCCACCACCACCCCAAGUUGAUGCCCUUACUCGUUUCUUGAGGUUGAAUCCUCGGAGGUUUUCUAGCACCCCUGAACCUAUUGUGGCUGAUGAUUGGCUUCGCUCAGUUAAUAGGAAUUUGGAGACAGUUGGUUGCACUGAUGCAGAGAGAGUGUGGUUUGCCUCUCAUUUGUUAGAAGGACCAGACGCAUCAUGGUGGGACAAUUACUUGGUCACUUAUCCUAUUGCUACUAUCACUUGGGUGCAGUUUCAGGCAGGUUUUCGCGCCGCACAUGUGUCUGCUCGUGCCAUGAGUCUGAAGAAGAAGGAGUUAUGCAGCUUGCGUCAGGGAGGUCGCACUGUGAGUGCAUAUGUGGAGGAAUUCAAUAAUCUUGCACGCUAUGCCCCUAAUGAUGUUAACACUGAUGCAGCUAGACAGGAGAAGUUUCUUGAAGGUCUGGAUGAUGAGUUGAGUAUUCAGUUGAUAGUGGCAACAUUCAACAACUGUCAGGAGCUUAUUGAUAAGGCUAUUGUACUUGAAGGCAAGUUUCAAGAGGUGGAGAAUCGCAAGAGGAAGGCAAGUGACACAGAUUUCAACUCUGGAGGACAACGGAAGCACCGUAAUUCGUUAGCAUCUUCUAAGUACUAUGAUUCUGGAGUGGACAUUUAUAAUGGUCAUAACCAUGAUGGGCAUAAUCAUCACAACAACAAUGGUCACAACCACAAUGCUCAGAGGAAUGGCAACAACGACCACGACCUUUCGACGCCCAGAAAGAAGGAUCUAAGCCAGUUACUUUGCUACAGAUGCAGGAACCCAGGACACUAUUCAAUAAAUUGUCCUGAGAAGAAACUGAAUUAUGACAAUGGGAACUCUGGAGAGAAGGAGAUUGAUCACUUCAAAAGUGGACAUGUGAAUCACACAAGGGUAGGAAGACCAGAUAAUGCAUCGGUCUUUGGUAAGAUUCUUAAUUAAGAUCAAAGUAUUGUGACUGUUCUUUCAGUAUUGAUGCAUCAUAUCUAUUCAUGUCAAGGAAAUAUGCAAUGAGUAAGCAUCGAUAUUUUGGAGUAUUGAUUAUAUCAAGUACCCAUCUUUAAACUUUGCUAGCCAACUCGAAUCUCGAGGACGAGAUUCAUUUUAAGGGGGUAGAUUUGUAACAUCCCAAAUUUUUAAAAUUUGGAAUGUUAAUAGGAUCAUUCUUUUCAUCAUGAUUUCUUUGCUUAUUUAAAUUUUCUGAAUAUUAAAAGUGUUUUCCAACUCAAGGCAAUAUAUUUGGAGUGGAGAUAAUAUGACUUCUCCCCUGUUAAUUAUAUUUGGAUAAUGCUAAGAGUAUAUUCUGGAGUUUACAUAAAUUAGUUUGGCAUUGUUGAAGCUCAAAGUUAUUUUAGAGUUGUUAUAAUGCUCUUUAUGUGCUUGCAUUGCAUAAAAUAUAAUCUUUUCAAAGGUGCAUAUGUGUUUUAAAAUUUUUCACUCUAUUCAAUAUUAGUAGUAACAUUUUACUGUGUGUUAUGGUGAUUUUAGGAAUCUAUAUGUAGUUUCGUUUAGCCAAAUAGACCUCCUGUUUAGUAUAAUUGCUCAGCCUGAGAUCACUGUUCAUUGGGCCGCGUAGUGCCAGCAGCGCGCAGCCCAUUUCCUUUCCUUCGCCCCGCACGCAGCAGCUAGGCAAGCCGGCCUAUUUUCGCAUAGCCGCAGCCCACCUCGCAAGCCUCUUCUUUUUCUUAUUUUUUUUCUUUCUCUGCCGCUGCCAACCGAGUCCCGCUUGUCAUCUCCUCCAACCACUCGUGUUCAUCACGAACACUGUAGCUACCGAACCCAAACCGAGAUCGAAUCGAUCGAUUCGAUCAAUCCUUUGCACUCCCACCUCCAUAUAUAUACUCCCCACGUCCGGCUUGUCUGAUUGUUCGCCAAAAUCGCAGUCUCCCGUGCCCUAGGUUGAUUUUGCGAUCUCGCCGGAGUUCCACCGCUGCUGACCUCCGCCGUCGUCGUUUCCGUCGCCUACAAUGGGUCCCAGCACCUCCUCUUGCCCCUGUUAAUUUCGCCUUGAUCUCCUCUAUCGCCUUGACCCACUAUCUCGCACAGGGGAGUACCGAACCGAGCGCAAGGACCUCGAUCCGAAGAUCACAGCCACCGCCCAAGCUCCAACCACCCUCUGUCGUCAACCCCGUUCGCCACCGAUGCCUCUGAGGACUUCUUCGAGACUGCAUCCGAGCUCCGCGACCCAUACGCUACCCUCCGGAGUCUCGAGACCACCGGAGCAGGCGUCACCAUCACCGCCCGACCCGCCGCGCCGCUGUUUUGUCCAAGUCCGGCCGCCCCAGCCUCUGUUCCUCUCCGGUGAGCUGCCCUUAGCCGCCCAAUCUCUCUCUAAUGGUCCAGAUUAAAUCAUGUUCUGUUUUUCCUCUCGAAUAGGUAUGCGCUGUUUAGAGGCUGUCCGCUGUUUAGCCAUCGCAGCAAACACCCUCCAGUCAAUCAGCAUGCACCAUGUGGCACAUCCACAGUGCCAUGACAGUUCUUCCUAGAAUGCUUUUAUGGCAUAAUUGUUCUUUGCAGAUUCCAUAUCAAAUUUUCAUUUAGGUUUAUCUUGAGAUCCGUAACUCCAGAUUCAUCGAUUCUUUUUCCUGUGUACUCGUAGUGACCAGGAGAAUAUUGAAGAACAAAAGUUUCACAUUUUUGAACAGUUCAAAUUUGAAUUUGUUUAAAUUUGAAUUCAAACUUUCGGAGGCCGUAUCUUUCAAACUGUUGAUCCAAAUUAGUUGAUUCUUUUUGCAUUGUGAUCCUACCAGCAUGUAGAUAAUAUAUACCUACUAAUAUGUUUUGUUAUUUAAGUCUUUAUUUGAAUUCGUUGCUGUUUACUUUAUUUUAGUGUUAUGUGAGCAUAGUUUAUUUAUCGUUGCGUCCGUUAAUCGUAUAGAUUGUCCGGAGUGUGAAGUGGAUCAGAAUUAAUCAUUAGAGUACUUCAGCACCGUUCAAGGCAAGUUUGCACUUUUGAUUUUGCUCAUCAUAUAUUCUGCUAUGCAAGUGUGAUUUUGGUGCUAUGAUAUAUGCUUGGCCUGAUAUGUGUAUCUCGUGUUAUGUUUGGUAUUGAUUGUGUUAUGUGAUGGUGUGAUCAAAUUAGUAUGGUAGACACGGGCAUGUGUCGAGUGAUCCAUGAAAGUGGUGAGUGUUUAUAGCCGUAGGCUCGGGAUUAUUAACCAGGUGAAUGUGUCACUAGCAGAGCGCUCUAUUGUCCCUAGAGAAUGGCCCAUUGACAGAGCGCACUUGAGGCGAGGUAUAGUUUUCGGAACUUAAAUCAGGUGAAUGCAUCCUUGGCAGAGCGCUCUAUUGUUCCUAGAGAAUGCGCCACUGACAGAGCGCACUUGAGAGACUUUUGAAGUUCUUGUCAUGUUUAUUUAGAAUCUUUGGGUUAUCUUGGGUGAGUAAACUAGAGACGGUUGUGAGUUCAGGUAGUGGAGGUAGGUGAAGACAUUCUUCUCCAAACUAACUUGUGUGUUUUGUUUGUCAUACAAUGCUUUCUGGAGGUAGGUUUGCUAUAUCAUAUUGUGUGAUUUGCCAAUACAUUCAAUGUAUUGACCCUUUGUGGCUGCAACUUAUCAUGUUGCAGGAUUUUCAGAUGAUCAGUGAGAUACAGUAGGGUCGCGAGUCUUCACUCAACAUGUUCUCCAGUGGGCAUCGAUGGACUCAUCGUUGAUUAUGCUACCUUUCCGCUGUUAUUAUUGAAUAAGUUAGCCAUGUGCUAUUUAGUUUGUAAUAAUUUAUAAAUUCUGGAUCAUACGUUAUAGUAAAUGAUGCACUUGUUAUUUGAUAUUCAUAUGUAUUGUGUGUGCUAGCGAGUCGAUCCAGUGACUAGCACAGUGAGCACAGACAUCGAGUAUUAUCAGAUUCGAGUCGUUACAUGAUCAUAG
rnacentral:lncRNA from 1 species